rnacentral:rRNA from 1 species
UGUGGCAGCGAUGUCACAGACUGGAACAGUACCCUGUACAGGUGCUGCAUGGCUGUCGUCAGCUCGUGCCGUGAGAUGUUGGGUUAAGUCCCGCAACGAGCGCAACCCCUAUGUUUAGUUGCUAACAGGUAAAGCUGAGCUCUCUAGACAGACUGCCGGUGAUAACCGGAGGAAGGUGGGAUGACGUCAAAUCAUCAUGCCCCUUAUGUCUUGGGCUACACACGUGCUACAAUGGACGGUACAGACGGAAGCGAAGCCGCGAGGUGAAGCAAAUCCGAGAAAGCCGUUCUCAGUUCGGAUUGCAGGCUGCAACUCGCCUGCAUGAAGUCGGAAUCGCUAGUAAUCGCAGGUCAGCACACUGCGGUGAAUACGUUCCCGGGCCUU